rnacentral:rRNA from 1 species
UAGGGAAUCUUCCGCAAUGGACGCAAGUCUGACGGAGCAACGCCGCGUGAGUGAAGAAGGAUUUCGGUUCGUAAAACUCUGUUGUUAGAGAAGAACAGCGCAUAGAGUAACUGUUAUGCGUGUGACGGUAUCUAACCAGAAAGCCACGGCUAACUACGUGCCAGCAGCCGCGGUAAUACGUAGGUGGCAAGCGUUGUCCGGAUUUAUUGGGCGUAAAGCGAGCGCAGGCGGUUAGAUAAGUCUGAAGUUAAAGGCAGUGGCUCAACCAUUGUAGGCUUUGGAAACUGUUUAACUUGAGUGCAGAAGGGGAGAGUAGAAUUCCAUGUGUAGCGGUGAAAUGCGUAGAUAUAUGGAGGAACACCGGUGGCGAAAGCGGCUCUCUGGUCUGUAACUGACGCUGAGGCUCGAAAGCGUGGGGAGCGAACAGG